rnacentral:rRNA from 1 species
CGCCAUCCGGGCGGCUACCAUGCAGUCGAGGGGCACAGGAGUAGCAAUACUUGCUGGCGACCGGCGCACGGGUGAGUAACGUGUAUGCAACCUACCCAUAACAGGGGGAUAGCUCCCGGAAACGGAAAUUAAUACCCCAUAGGAUUCCUUGGCCGCAUGGCCUGGGGAUUAAAACUACGGUGGUUAUGGAUGGCAUGCGUGCCAUUAGCUAGUUGGCGGGGUAACGGCCCACCAAGGCUACGAUGGCUAGGGGGUCUAAAAGGAUGAUCCCCCACACUGGUACUGAGACACGGACCAGACUCCUACGGGAGGCAGCAGUGAGGAAUAUUGGUCAAUGGGCGAGAGCCUGAACCAGCCAUGCCGCGUGCAGGAAGACGGCCCUAUGGGUUGUAAACUGCUUUUUUAUGGGAAGAAAAAGCCCUACGUGUAGGGCACUGACGGUACCAUAUGAAUAAGCAUCGGCUAACUCCGUGCCAGCAGCCGCGGUAAUACGGAGGAUGCGAGCGUUAUCCGGAUUUAUUAGGUUUAAAGGGUGUGUAGGCGGACGAUUAAGUCAGUGGUGAAAUCUCACAGCUCAACUGUGAAACUGCCAUUGAUACUGGUUGUCUUGAGUACAGUUGAAGUAGGCGGAAUGUGUAAUGUAGCGGUGAAAUGCUUAGAUAUUACACAGAACACCGAUUGCGAAGGCAGCUUACUAAGCUGUUACUGACGCUGAUGCACGAAAGCGUGGGGAGCGAACAGGAUUAGAUACCCUGGUAGUCCACGCCGUAAACGAUGAUUACUCGUUGUUGGCGAUAUAUUGUCAGCGACUGAGCGAAAGCAAUAAGUAAUCCACCUGGGGAGUACGUCGGCAACGAUGAAACUCAAAGGAAUUGACGG